rnacentral:lncRNA from 1 species
AUAUGGAAAUUAAAAAACUUUUCCCUUAUUUGUGUGACGUGUAUCUCUCCAUACACACAGACGUUUAUAAGAAACAUGUCUAUAGUUUGUCUUUAGGAUAUCCCUGGAAUUAAUUUAUUGGGAACAUUGGCUGACUGCAUUUCUCAGUGUUAAUCACAUAUUUGCUUUUAACAUCUCUUGUAUUGUCACCUUUGUUGUUACUUAACUCUUAUUGCUUGCUUUUUUGUUGUUGUUGUUAUACAUACUUUGUCAGGAGGAUGGUGAUAGAAUUCUUUGGAGUUCCUCCUGUAACUAGCUCCCUGCCUUUCUUAUAUGUACUCAAGAGUGUUUUGCUUGAGAUUCAUAGUGCCAUAAAUUUUGAAAGCACUGUGUAGUCUAUAAACCUUGGGGGGUUUUCCUAGAGGUAAUUUUUCCCUUACUUGUGCAGUUAGUUGUUUAUUGUGGACUUUAACAAUUAAUAAUGACAAAUUAAAGUAAUAGUUUAAGAUAUGAUUUUAUCCAUAUUCUUUUGAUAAUUUGCAAAUUGGGCUCCCUCGAGCACUCAGGACCUGCCUCUACUACCACCCACUCAUCACCCUGCACUGCUCUCAUCUCUGUGUCCUCCACUGGGAAGUUAGCUCUGCAAGGAUAGCGGCAGUGUUUUUUGAUAUUGGUGCCGCAACACCUAGCACAAUGCCUGUUUCCAAGUGUUUAUGGGAAUUGACCUCCUUUUAAAGUAUCCUAAGUUUCCUAAAAGAUGGUUGAUGCCUACCUGAGUUGAACAGGGUGGGCAAGUUCAAUAUUUCCAAAUGCUCAGGAGAAAAAUCAAGUAUUUGUGAACAGCUCUACCACAGAGGCAAGGCGUGGAAAGGUUUUUGAAAAUUAUUAAUAGGAGCCAGUGGGAAAAUGUGAGACAAUACUUACUAUUUUUGUCAGCCUAAGAGCAGAUCUGAAGUCUAAGGUGAAGUCAGUUUUUAAUUGUUUCUAUUUAAUGAUAGUUAAAUGUUCACAACUUAUUUUGUUUUAGAUUUGUGACUUGAAGAUACUUCAUUAUCUUUAUUUGGUAAGUUAGUGAUUACUCCAAAUUUGACUGACUUGGCUACAUGUUAAAGAUAUUUGUGGAGUUUUAACCCAACAUAUUUUGUUUGUUUGAAUAUGAUAAAGGAAUGAGACCAAUAUCCUUGAUUCAGUUUAAGGAGGGAUUAAUAUCAUGAUAUGUGUGAUGGCUUUACCGUAUUUUUAAAUCAGUUUAGACAUUUUUAAGUACCCUUUUGACUCCUUCUUAAAAUUAGUUCUAUUUUAUGGUAUCACAUAGUGUAUAAGAACAAUAAGUCAAACAAUAUUUACAAAUUUUCUGAUUUGUUUAUGCAUUAUAAUAAAAGGAAAGAAGUAGAAGGUAGCUCAGCUUUAGUGUUGAUAAAGAGGUGGUGCAAGAUUAACCAUCAAGUCUGUGAGCAGUAUCUGGCUCCAUUCUGUUGAUUUCACCUCCAAACAUAAAUCUUGCAUAAAUCUUGCUCUCUGAUUUGAGAAAGAGUAGAUUAGUUAGGGUUAGAGUUUAUUUAGGGAUGUACCUAAGGAGUUUGUUAAGACUGUUCCUUAAGUGAGCACCACAAACUCCAAAAUGUAUUCCAUACUGUUUGUUGAACACUGGUGGUAACUAGGAAGCUGAGUUCAGACUUAAAUAUGCCAUUCAUUAGAAAUAGACGGUGAUAAAGUGACUUCAACAUUUUUGAAUUUGGUAAGUUGCCCUAACCUAGUUAAUUUCUUAAGGACAUCCGCUGUGUGAUUCUGUGAAACCCACCACAUAAUAGAAAAUAAUGAAGAGUCAAAAGAGAUUUAAGUUUUCUUGAUUCGAAGGUUGUUAAGAUAACAACAGUCCAGGGAAGAUUUGUUAUAGGGCAGCAUUUUGGAAGAUAAAUAGCUCUUUUUAAAUGUGAUUAAUUUAUUAGAGUGAGAUCUUCUACUUAAAGAUAUUUUAUAGCCAGAUAUCUUGUGUUGAACUGCGCUUGAUUUCGGUAAAUACUUAUUGAAAGACUUAAUGAGUAAGGAGUUCCUGUCAUGGCUCAGCGGAAAUGAAUCUUACUAGUGACCAUGAGGAUGCAGCUUUGAUCCCUGGCCUCGCUCAGUGGGUUAAAUAUCCGAUGUUGCCGUGAGCUGUGGUGUAGGUCGCAGAUGCGGCUUGGAUCUGUCAUUGUCGUGGCUCUGCCAGCCUGUACCAAGCCAUAGCAACGUAGGAUCUGAGCCUCAUCUUCAUCCUACAGCUUGUGGCAAAGACAGGUCUUUAACCCACUGAGUGAAGCCAGGGAUGGAACCUGCAUCCUCAUGGAUAUUAGAGGGGUUUGUUAUACUGAGCCACAACAGGAACUCCCAUCUAUUUUAAUUUUUGUAUUCACUGAAUGAUUAAUGAAGAUCUUAGGAAUGUCAAAGGGAUCAGUAAAAUAAGCCUUUAAUAAAUUUCUUUUAGUUGUUUGUGUGUAUAAUUAUUACUAAAGUAUUUGAUUACCUUUUCUGUAUCACCACUGAAGAUAAAUAAAUUAAUUAUUGUUCCUGUAAUCAUAAUGCUCCAUUCUGGUCAAGGGAGACAGACAUAUUAGGGUGACCUCAUAAUUUGUUAUACAGACUGGGCUGCUUUUGAAAGUGAGAAGAAGCUGUUUUAAUAAUUAUCUUGGGAGUUCCAUCGUGGCUCAGUGGAAACAAAUCUGACUAGUAUCCAUGAGGACGCAGGUUUGAUCCCUGGCCUAGCUCAAUUGGUUAAGGAUCCAGAGUUGCCCUGAGCUGUGGUAUAGGUCAUAGAUGUGGCUUGGAUCUGGCGUUGCUGUGGCUGUGGUGUAGGCUGGCAGCUACAGCUCCAUUUCAACUCCUAACAUGGGAACCUCCAUAUGCCAUGGGUGUGGCCCUGAAAAGACAAAAAAAAAAAAAAAAUUAUCUCGGAGCAUCAAAAAUAAACUGGGACUAGAGUUCCCGUCGUGGCUCAGUGGUUAACGAAUCUGACUAGGAAUCAUGGGGUUGUGGGUUCGAUCCCCGGCCUUGCUCAAUGGGUUGGGGAUCCAGCAUCACCGUGAGCUGUGGUGUAGGUUGCAGACUUGGAUCCCGGGUUGCUGUGGCUCUGGUGUAGGCCAGUGGUUACAGCUCCGAUUCGACCCUUGCCCUGGGAACCUCCAUAUGCUAUGGGAGCGGCCCAAGAAAUGGCAGAAAGACAAAAAAUUAAUAAAUAAAUAAAAAUAAACUGGGACUCUCCUUAGCAAACUGGGAUGUAUGAUUUAUCCUACAUAUGUGAAAUGAGUAUGAUACAGUGAAAUAUGUACAAAGUACCAUGGGAAUAUGAUACAUGUUAUAACAUGUAAAAUAAUACUAAAUGUGAAAGUGUAAGUAGUAGUAACAUUCAAAACCUGAAGGUAGGAGUUCCCGUCGUGGUGCUUUGGUUAACGAAUCCGACUAGGAACCAUGAGGUUGCGGGUUUGAUCCCUGGCCUUGCUCAGUGGGUUAAGGAUCUGGCGUUGCCAUGAGCUGUGGUGUAGGUCGCAGACGCGGCUCAGAUCUCGCGUUUCUGUGGCUGUGGUGUAGGCCAUCAGCUACAGCUCUGAUUGGACCCCUAGCCUGGGAAUUCCCAUAUGCCGAGGGAGUGGCCCUAGAAAAGGCAAAAAGACAAAAAAAAACAAAAA